rnacentral:rRNA from 1 species
CGCGCAGGCGGUCGUCCAAGUCGCGUGUGAAAGCCCCCGGCUCAACUGGGGAGGGUCACGCGAUACUGAUCGACUCGAAGGCAGGAGAGGGUAGUGGAAUUCCCGGUGUAGUGGUGAAAUGCGUAGAUAUCGGGAGGAACACCAGUGGCGAAGGCGACUACCUGGCCUGUUCUUGACGCUGAGGCGCGAAAGCUAGGGGAGCAAACG